rnacentral:rRNA from 1 species
CCAGACUCCUACGGGAGGCAGCAGUGAGGAAUAUUGGUCAAUGGGCUUACGCCUGAACCAGCCAAGUCGCGUGAGGGAAGACUGCCCUAUGGGUCGUAAACCUCUUUUGUCAGGGAGCAAAGGCGUCCACGAGUGGACGAAAGGAGAGUACCUGAAGAAAAAGCAUCGGCUAACUCCGUGCCAGCAGCCGCGGUAAUACGGAGGAUGCGAGCGUUAUCCGGAUUUAUUGGGUUUAAAGGGUGCGUAGGCGGAGUGUCAAGUCAGCGGUAAAAUUUCGGGGCUCAACCCCGUCGUGCCGUUGAAACUGACACCCUUGAGUGAGUGAGAAGUAAGCGGAAUGCGUGGUGUAGCGGUGAAAUGCAUAGAUAUCACGCAGAACUCCGAUUGCGAAGGCAGCAUACCGGCGCUCAACUGACGCUGAGGCACGAAAGCGUGGGGAUCGAACAGGAUUAGAUACCCUCGUAAAG